GCCUACGAUAUCCAAAAUGUGGAUAACACAGAUAUUCCAUCUAAUACCAUCAAAUACGUGACAUUACAGCUGCACAUGUCGGACCGUCAGAAUUCGUGGGAGUAGAAGAGAGAAGGAAAGAAGGACUAGCCGGACUAGCGUCUCUUCUCGCAAAACUUUCCGCAAUAAUCCGGUGCAAAAAAGCAGCCAGCAUCUGACGCUGUCAAAAAGUCCCUAAUGCGAAUUGGGAGGACCUUGUGAUACGGCAGACGCGGCGACCCGUGCCGCCACCGCGUGCUCGGGUUUUUUUGCCGACGAGCAACGGGAGAACGUUUCCUCUAUCGUCAUCAGCGACUAUCGCCACGAGCGACACGGAGAACGGUCCAGGUCAUGGCAGCUGGAUUUGCAUUGUAAAGUUUCCCGUCUCUCGCGCGUCCUACGUGCGCAAUUUCGCUCAAUUGCGCCGUCGCUGCUGCCAGCUCUUCGGAACGGGUAAAGCUAGUUACAAAAGCUCCUUCGCUUCUUCCCUCUCACCCUCUUCCAUCGUCUUCCGCGAUCUGAUAAAGGUUCAUGCAUUCCACUCCCAGAGGGCCCGCUGCAUCCCCGUUCAGUGAAACGCGUGCAAGAGUCUCGGUAACGAAGAAGCGUCAACGUCAACGUCAGUUACUUAAGAAGACAUUCGGACACUUUAUUUUUAGCUACGGAUUCUUCGAUAAACGUGGAAUCAAUUUCUCAUUGAUAAAAGUUUAAUACUCUCUUUGAGUCUUCUCUUAUCUCUUUCCUUAGAUCUUUAAGUUGUUUUUUUCAAUUAAAUCUUAAUUAAAUUCCAAAUUAAAAUUCUCUCAAGAUAAGAUUCAUAUAAAGUUAGAAGCCAAAGAUAAAAAGCAAAAGAUAUAUUUAUGAAAAAAUGCCGAUUGUAUAUUGAUAACGGAAUCUGUAACUAAAACAAGAUGUAAUCUUGUAAUCUUACAAUAUAUGCAAGCGCGACAAAUUACACUUUAUCUUGCAUCAACAUGCAAGAAUCAAAGGAAUUUGGACGACAAGAUCUUGCACAAACUUACAUGUUAAUUUUGAAUGUCUCCAUUUAAAUAACGAUCGAUAUUAUCAAGUGGAAGUAACGCUAACUUAGAAUCGUCUCUCGAUAAUAUCACGAGUAAGAUGGACGGUACAAAUAAGAAAGUCUUUUACCGGAUAAAAAUUUUGAGUUUGUCGCAUCGGUAGCUAUCUAUAAGUCUAUAUCUAUAAUAUUGACUUUUAAUUCAGUAUACUAUAUGUAAUAACUUUUCAAUAAGCCAUAUUGACUUAAUAAUAAUAUAAGGAAAUAAAAUAAUUUGCACUCCG